rnacentral:tRNA from 3 species
GCCGGAGUGGCGGAAUCGGCAGACGCAAACGACUCAAAAUCGUUCGGGUGAUCCCCGUGUGGGUUCGACUCCCACCUCCGGCA